GUGGCUUCAAGGUCCGCAGCCACCAUGGCCGCCCUUUCCACGGUUUCUCAUCUGGGGAACCCAGUAGAGCAAUUAAGCCCUGCCCUGCUGGUGGGACGCAGAGCUGCCUGACAACUGUCUUGUCCAACCUCUGACUGGCUACCUCUCUACCCAACAGUCUGGACAGACAAUUUCUGGUCAUUCUGCUGCCUUCUCUUGUUGUCCAGCUACCUGUGUGAUGGUCUGUCUGCCCAAUGGGCUGCCAAACACCUCAUCGUUUUUCUUAUUCUUUUUUUUUUUUUUUUUGAGACGGAGUAUCAUUCUGUCACCCAGGCUGGACUGCAGUGGUGCGAUCUUGGCUCACUGAAACCUCUGCCUCCCAGGUUCAAGCGAUUCUCCUGCCUCAGCCUCCCGAGUAGCUGGGAUGACAGGCAUGUGCCACUAUGCCUGGCUAAUUUUUGUAUUUUUAAUUGAGACUGCAUUUCACCAUGUUGGCCAGGCUGGUCUCGAACUCCUGACCUCAAGUGAUCCACCCGUCUCAGCCUCCCAAAGUGCUGGGAUUACAGGUUUGAGCCACUGCGCCUGGCUGCCUCAUUGUUUUGUCUAUAGGGCAUCUUGGCGGUACCAUCUCUUUUUUUUGUCAGUGUCCUACUACCUGAGAAUAUUGUAGUCUACCAUGAUGUCACUGUCCCUCUGCCAAACUGUUGAGUUGAAUAACAGCCUGACUUCUCCCACUGUUGGUUGUAUGGCUGUUCCACUGCCUGUUUGCCAACCUGUUCAGCUACCAGCCUGCCCCGCUGCCCAAAUGUCCAACUGAACACUUGCAUGACUGUCCCACAGCUAAGCUGGUUGGUUGAAUCACUGUCCCAUGAUGACCAGCAUGAUUGUACAAUCCACUGACAAUUCCACUGCCCGAAUGGAAUGGUGUGAACCAGCCUGUUUUGCAAUUUGAACUGUGUGCUUGGACAACGUGUUGUCCUUCUAGCUGAGCAACUUUCCAAUCAAUGCACUGCCCAAUUAGAUCAGUUAGUUCUAACUGCAUUGCAGUUAGAACAAUCAUACUGCCUGAUGUACUACAACCAGAUGGUCUCAUGGACCACCCAACUGUGACAUCGUACGUCAUCCACCUUUUUUCUGUCUGUACUGCUGACUGUGGCUGUAUGUCUACCACAGCAUCCUACUCAUAGAGUAUCUGAUUAUAUACUUAAUUCAAUAUCACACUGUUCUGCUUUUCCAUCUAACAUUCAUCUGAUUUUCUUUUUUGAGACAGAGCCUCACUCUGUCGCCCAGGCUGGAGUGCAAUGGCGAAAUCUCAACUCACCGCAACCUCUACCUCCCGGGUUCAGGCGAUUCUCCUGCCUUAGCCUCCCAAGUAGCUGGAAUUACAGGUGUGUGCCACCACGCCUGGCUAACUUUUUUGUAUUUUUAGUAAAGACGGGGUUUCGCCAUGUUGGCCAGGCUGAUCUCAAUCUCCUGACCUCAAGUGAUCUGCCCAUCUCGGCCUCCCAAAAUGCUGGGAUUACAGGCGUGAGACACUGUGCCUGACCCUGAUUUUCUAUAUAUAUAUUUUGAAACAGGACCUUGCUCUGUUGCCCACGCUGGAGUGCAGUGGUGUGAUCAAGGCUCAUUGGAGCCUCAAUCUCCCUGGCUCAAGUGAUCCUCCUGCCUCAGCCUCUCAAGUAGCUGGGACUACAGGAGCACACCACCACACCUGGCUUAUUUUUUCUAUUUUUGGUUGAGAUAGUGUCUCACUAUGUUGCCCAUGCUGUUCUCAAACUCCUGGGCUCAAGUGAUUUUCCCGCCUCAACUUCACAAAGUGCUAGGAUUACAGGUGUGAGCCACCAUGCCCGAACUGACCUGGUUUCCUAGCAGUACGAUUGUGUUGGCUGUGUCCAGGUGGGGGUGACGCAGAGAGGAACGCUUGUACACCACAUGUGGUCCACUUUCCUCCGGGCUCCGAGAACCCUUGGGCCCACCGUGCAGGGGCUCAAUCAGGUACUCUUCCUCGUCUGCCACGAUCAGGCCGUGCUGGGUUUUGAGAAGUGGGAUAGAAAGCUCUCAGGAUCAGGUUCUGGAGCUUAGGACCCCUGGGACCUUCUCUCUGUCUUUAUGAUUUCAUUCUUAUCAGGUUUAUUUUGCUAUUUCUUUUUUUUUUUUUGGCAUAGGUAAUUAGUGUCCAUGCUAUUUAUUUAUUUAUUUAUUUCUUCUUUUGGAGACAAGGUCUUACUCUGUCAUCCAGGCUGGAGUGCAGUGGUGCAAUCGUAGCUCACUGCAUCCUCAACUUCCUGGGCUCAAGCGAUCCUCCUGCCUCAGCCUCCCAAGGAUCUGGGACUAUAGGAGCACACCAAUAUGUUUGGCUAAUUUUUAAAAUUUUUAAUUUAUUUUUCAUAGAGAUGGGGUUCCACUAUGUUGCCCAGGCUGGUCUCGAAUUCCUGGCCUCAAGUGAUCCUCCUGCCUCGGCCUCCCAAAGUGCUAAGAUUAAAAGCAUGAGUCAGCAUGCUCAGCCUCUAAU
rnacentral:lncRNA from 1 species